CGGGUGAUUUCAAGAUAGCAAUGAAAGAUGGGAAGCCGAUCAUCAUUGAGGUAACAAAGAGUACACUUUUUUAUGGCAAAUCAUUCGUUCUCAUGUAGAUACAAAAAAUAUUGACCUUUUACGCCCUUGCAGGGGAUGCAUAUUGAUCCUAGUAUAUAUUUAAUGGAUGAAGAGAACAAAUCACCACAUAAGGCUUCAAAAAUAGAUGAAAAUGAAUUAAAAGACACAGAAAAUAAUGCUGAAAUGUCCAAAACAUAAGCAAUUGGAGAAGAGUUGGAUAAAGUUUCGGAUGGGGUCAAAUAUGUUCAUAUUGUUGACCAAGCUGCUGGUAGUCAAACCUAGCUCUUAAUUUUAUUUAUUUAUUUUUAUUUUGUUACUUUCUGAUUUCUUAUUUGGCCCUUCAGAUGACAAUAAGCCUAUUUUAAGAAGAGAAAAUUUUGGGGUCAGUGAACCAAUAAUAAUUCCUAUAGUCCUUAAGAUGGCAGAAUUUGAUCAUAAGGCACUACUAGAAGAGUGGAUAUCUAGCAGAAAAUUCAGUGAUAAGUAUCCAAUCCAGG